AUAUAUAUAUAUAACGAUAGAACGUGCUUGUAGUUGUAAUGCAAGUUUUAAAUGUGUAUACAUGACAUACGAAUUUCAAAGUGUUAAAAUAUAUACUGUUAAAAGGUCAAAGAGUCUCGUUUUGAUAAUUUUCAGUGAGUGAUUUUCAAGAGUGAUUUUGUCGCCGUUUUUGGAGUUGAUUCAACACUUUUAGCGUUGAUCCAACUCCUUGAAAUUUACAGUGCGGUUGCGUCCAUAUACUCGUCUAAUCAUGCACGAACAUUUUAAUUUAGAGCUAUAUAUUCUCUAGGCCACUGAUCCAUGGUUUAUGCAGUUAAUUUAUUCAUGAAAGCAUUAUUACCUUGAAUUCAUUACUAACUUGUCAAAUGGCUAUCGUAAUGAAGUGAAGUUAACGCACUGUCUUCGACUGGUAAAUUUAAAUAAAAAUACCAUUCAAUGACAGUGAUUAGGCUUCAGUGUGAAGCAUGUUCAGACUUUAGAUAAAGUUAUGUUAAAUCUAUUUUUUCUUCCUUUAUGUUUUUAGUGCAGAGUUUCUUUGAAACUGCAUGUGCACUAUUGUGAUGAGUGGCGAAAAUUCACAUCAGUCGUCAGCCAGUCAUACAAUCAGUCAGUCAAUCAGUCAUAGUGUAAACUUUGUGGGGGGAGUGUAUUAUGUGAAUACAAUUUAUGUUUGUAGUGAUUUAUUGUGCUUUGAAGGUUAUUCAGGC